AUGGAACUGGACAUGUAUAAAAUGGUGGCACAGGCGAACGGCGAGGUCACGUACCAGCUGACCGACCCGACGACAUGGGGCGCGUGGGCGCACGAGGGGCACCGGCUCUGGGCGUCCAUGCCAGAAGACUUCUGGCUAUACGAGUACAAGGUGCGGAUGUGCCCGCAGCCGUACAGCCAUGACUGGACAGCGUGCCCCUACGCGCACAAGGACGAGCGCGCACGCCGCCGCGACCCGCGCCGCUUCAACUACGUCGCCAUCUCCUGCCCGGAGUACCGUGUCAAUGCGCGCGCGCAUGCGCAGCUCCGGCUCGCCGGCGCUGGGCUCCCGCCGCCGACCUGCGCACGCGGCCUCAGGUGCCGCUACGCGCACGGCGUCUUCGAGUUGUGGCUGCACCCAUCCCGGUUCCGCACACGCAAGUGUGAUGCAGGCACGCGCUGCCAGCGCCAGAUCUGCUUCUUCGCACACUUCACCCGCGAGCUCAGGAGCGAGGACCGCAUCGCCACCUUCGCCGCCGCUGCAGUGCGGCCUUCGACCUUCGCCAUGCCGCGGACGCCGCCCCACAUCCUCCAACGCGCUCCAUCCACUUCGGUGACGCAUCCGCAGGAUGUUCCAGCUCCACAGCUGUUCGACGAUGUCACCCCGCAGGCCACUCCAAACAGACUUCGCAUGCUGAGCCUAUACUAUGCCAUCACUGGGGACGAUGUUUUCUCCUCCCCCAUCGCCACUGCCACCGCUGCCGCCGUCGCCGCUGCUGCGACCACCAUGCCGACCAUGAGGGUGCCCUUAAUGGCGUACGAGGAGGAAGAGGAGGACUCUAAAUCCGUCCACUAUGCGAACGACGAAGACUCCCUGCUGAACGACUACCCACACCGAGAUCUCAUCAUGGACUUUAUGCACUAG
rnacentral:rRNA from 1 species